AUUGAACGCUGGCGGCAGGCCUAACACAUGCAAGUCGAGCGAGCGGCGGACGGGUGAGUAAUGUAUGGAGACUGCCCGAUAGAGGGGGAUAACUACUGGAAACGGUAGCUAAUACCGCAUACUAUCGGAUAACCCAUAUGGGAUUAGCUAGUAGGUGAGGUAAUGGCUCACCUAGGCGACGAUCCCUAGCUGGUCUCAGAGGAUGAUCAGCCAAGCUGGGACUGGGACACGGCCCGGCCUCCUACGGAGGCAGCAGGGUGGAAUAUCGCACAAUGGGCGCAAGCCUGAUGCUGCCAUGCUGCGUGUAUGAAGAAGGCCGUAGGGUUGUGAAAUACUUUCGGUCGUGAGGCGUUACCAAAGGAAUAAGCACCGGCUAACUCCGUGCCAGCAGCCGCGGUAAUAC
rnacentral:rRNA from 1 species